CCUACGGGCGGCAGCAGUGAGGAAUAUUGGUCAAUGGGCGGAAGCCUGAACCAGCCAAGUAGCGUGCAAGAUGACGGCCCUACGGGUUGUAAACUGCUUUUAUACGGGAAUAACGCGCCUUACGUGUAGGGCUUUGCAUGUACCGUAUGAAUAAGGACCGGCUAAUUCCGUGCCAGCAGCCGCGGUAAUACGGAGGGUCCGGGCGUUAUCCGGAUUUAUUGGGUUUAAAGGGAGCGUAGGCCGCAUGUCAAGCGUGCUGUGAAAUGUCCGGGCUCAACCCGGGCCUUGCAGCGCGAACUGGCGUUCUUGAGUCCGUGGAAAGCAGGCGGAAUUCGUCGUGUAGCGGUGAAAUGCUUAGAUAUGACGAAGAACCCCGAUUGCGAAGGCAGCUUGCUGCAGCGGAACUGACGCUGAUGCUCGAAAGCGUGGGUAUCGAACAGGAUUAGAUACCCCUGUAGUC
rnacentral:rRNA from 1 species